AAUCAACGCUGGCGGCGUGCCUAACACAUGCAAGUCGAACGCGAAAGGGGCUUCGGCUCUGAGUAGAGUGGCGAACGGGUGAGUAACACGUGGGUGAUCUACCUUCGAGUGGGGAUAACGUCCCGAAAGGGACGCUAAUACCGCAUGACGUUCUGGGUUUAAAGACCUGGAAACCAAAGCCGGGGACCGCAAGGCCUGGCGCUUGAAGAGGAGCCCGCGUCCGAUUAGCUAGUUGGCGGGGUAACGGCCCACAAGGCGACGAUCGGUAGCCGGCCUGAGAGGGCGGACGGCCACACUGGGACUGAGACACGGCCCAGACUCCUACGGGAGGCAGCAGUGGGGAAUUGUUCACAAUGGGCGCAAGCCUGAUGACGCAACGCCGCGUGGGGAGUGAAGGUCUUCGGAUCGUAAACCCUGUCGAAUGGGAACGAAAGACUCGCGAGUUAAUACUCCGCGAGAGU
rnacentral:rRNA from 1 species